AAGUUCUUAAUUUCUACAGGAAUGGCGACGAUGCCGAUUAGAUUGACGGAAUUGCAAAGCUCCUUCUUCCAAGGAAUCACUGGGGGCUUAGGGUACGAGACCUGAGGCUGGGAGUGAUCGUUAUUAGCGUAGAACGGGUCUUUGUAAUCAUUCAUGGAGCACUUGAGGCAACCAUUCCACUUAUAAGAGUGGGUUUUCCCUUCUGUAUACU